AGCGGACAGAUGGGAGCUUGCUCCCUGAUGUUAGCGGCGGACGGGUGAGUAACACGUGGGUAACCUGCCUGUAAGACUGGGAUAACUCCGGGAAACCGGGGCUAAUACCGGAUGGUUGUUUGAACCGCAUGGUUCAAACAUAAAAGGUGGCUUCGGCUACCACUUACAGAUGGACCCGCGGCGCAUUAGCUAGUUGGUGAGGUAACGGCUCACCAAGGCAACGAUGCGUAGCCGACCUGAGAGGGUGAUCGGCCACACUGGGACUGAGACACGGCCCAGACUCCUACGGGAGGCAGCAGUAGGGAAUCUUCCGCAAUGGACGAAAGUCUGACGGAGCAACGCCGCGUGAGUGAUGAAGGUUUUCGGAUCGUAAAGCUCUGUUGUUAGGGAAGAACAAGUACCGUUCGAAUAGGGCGGUACCUUGACGGUACCUAACCAGAAAGCCACGGCUAACUACGUGCCAGCAGCCGCGGUAAUACGUAGGUGGCAAGCGUUGUCCGGAAUUAUUGGGCGUAAAGGGCUCGCAGG
rnacentral:rRNA from 1 species